rnacentral:rRNA from 1 species
AUUGAACGCUGGCGGCAGGCCUAACACAUGCAAGUCGAACGGUAGCACAGAGAGCUUGCUCUCGGGUGACGAGUGGCGGACGGGUGAGUAACGUCUGGGAAACUGCCCGAUGGAGGGGGAUAACUACUGGAAACGGUAGCUAAUACCGCAUAACGUCGCAAGACCAAAGUGGGGGACCUUCGGGCCUCACACCAUCGGAUGUGCCCAGAUGGGAUUAGCUAGUAGGUGGGGUAAUGGCCAACCUAGGCGACGAUCCCUAGCUGGUCUGAGAGGAUGACCAGCCACACUGGAACUGAGACACGGUCCAGACUCCUACGGGAGGCAGCAGUGGGGAAUAUUGCACAAUGGGCGCAAGCCUGAUGCAGCCAUGCCGCGUGUAUGAAGAAGGCCUUCGGGUUGUAAAGUACUUUCAGCGGGGAGGAAGGCGGUGGAGUUAAUAACUUCACCGAUUGACGUUACCCGCAGAAGAAGCACCGGCUAACUCCGUGCCAGCCGCCGCAGUAA